rnacentral:lncRNA from 1 species
CUUGUUUGAAGAGCAGAUACCAAUGGUGAGCUGUGCGCUUGGUGAUCCAGGCUCCUAUGAAAGGGAUUGUCCCAGAAAUGACAGUCUCACAGAGCCAGCUUGUUUGCCCGGAGGAAAGAAUUCACUGAACAGCCACAGACUGCAUUCCAGAACGUUAGCCAACCACUUUGCAAAAGUGUCCCGUUGGGUCAGGGCACGGCCUGCCGCCACUCCUGGCAAAGAGACUCCAAAUGCCUGCCCGUGGGACAGAGGUCUCAUUGCAGGAUGUCAGUUCAGGCGGUCAUGGGAAGACGUCACUGGAGCACAAGGCGAUGACGGUGUUGCUAAGACGUCUGAGAGAAAAUGGCAAAGCAGAGCCCAGAGAGGUUGGUGCAGGCUCCCCGGGUCCCUCGGAAGUGGGGCUGGGCCUCAGAGGAUGUGCGUGAGCUGCCGGCCGAGCGUUCUCUGCCUUUUCUAAGAGACUGAGUCAGCGUUCUCGUG